rnacentral:rRNA from 1 species
GACGAACGCUGGCGGCGUGCUUAACACAUGCAAGUCGAACGGAAAGGCCCUGCUUUUGUGGGGUGCUCGAGUGGCGAACGGGUGAGUAACACGUGAGUAACCUGCCCUUGACUUUGGGAUAACUUCAGGAAACUGGGGCUAAUACCGGAUAGGAGCUCCUGCUGCAUGGUGGGGGUUGGAAAGUUUCGGCGGUUGGGGAUGGACUCGCGGCUUAUCAGCUUGUUGGUGGGGUAGUGGCUUACCAAGGCUUUGACGGGUAGCCGGACUGAGAGGGUGACCGGCCACAUUGGGACUGAGAUACGGCCCAGACGCCUACGGGAGGCAGCAGGGGAGAAUAUUGCACAAUGGGGGGAAGCCUGAUGCAGCGACGCCGCGUGCGGGAUGACGGCCUUCGGGUUGUGAACCGCUUUCGCCUGUGACGGAGCGUGAGUGACGGUAAUGGGUAAAGAAGCACCGGCUAACUACGUG